rnacentral:lncRNA from 1 species
GGCUGUGUAGACUACUUCAAGAAUUUCUGACCGCCCAAUGUUGUUUAUAAACAACAGAGGCUCAGUGGCCUAUACACAACUCUUUCAGGUUGUUCCCACAAAAAAAAAAAACUCUUUUAAGGUUGUUGAACCUCGCCUAAUCUAAUAGAAUCUUUUUGAAUUAUGUUUUGGCCAGAAUUACUAUAUAGGAGUAUGAUUUAUCUUUGCCUCUUUCGUACACAUUCCUUCUGCAUGAGAAUUGAGGAGGUCAAAUACUGACAUAAAUCGGAAUGGUGACAUGCUACUUCUUUACAAACAGGGUACAAACUGUAAGAAAGCUCUUAGAAAUUGUUAAACUUAUUAGUCCGUGAUAACUUAAUACCUGACAAAGAGGUUGCUGAGCUCAGUCUUAAAAAUAGAAAGAGCUAUGGGUGGUACUGCCCAGUCUCUAUUUUGUUUUCAGUAGGGAAGCUACCACUAUAUGUUGUUUUCAGUGUGAAAACUCUAAUUUUUUCCCCAACACGUAUUUUCUUUAUUAUUAUAUUUUUAUUUUGUCCUAAAUACUACUUGGUUCAUAUUUCUUGCUUUCCAUUGUUUGUAAUGUGAACCAAAAUCCU